rnacentral:rRNA from 1 species
UACAGAGGUGGCAAGCGUUGUUCGGAAUUACUGGGCGUAAAGGGCGCGUAGGCGGCCAACUAAGUCACACGUGAAAUCCCCAGGCUUAACCUGGGAACUGCGUGUGAUACUGGAUGGCUUGAAUUCGGGAGAGGGAUGCAGAAUUCCAGGUGUAGCGGUGAAAUGCGUAGAUAUCUGGAGGAAUACCGGUGGCGAAGGCGGCAUCCUGGACCGAGAUUGACGCUGAACGGCGAAAGCUAGGGGAGCGAACCGGG